GACGAACGCUGGCGGCGUGCUUAACACAUGCAAGUCGAACGGAAAGGCCCUGCUUUUGUGGGGUGCUCGAGUGGCGAACGGGUGAGUAACACGUGAGUAACCUGCCCUUGACUUUGGGAUAACUUCAGGAAACUGGGGCUAAUACCGGAUAGGAGCUCCUGCUGCAUGGUGGGGGUUGGAAAGUUUCGGCGGUUGGGGAUGGACUCGCGGCUUAUCAGCUUGUUGGUGGGGUAGUGGCUUACCAAGGCUUUGACGGGUAGCCGGCCUGAGAGGGUGACCGGCCACAUUGGGAUUGAGAUACGGCCCGGGCUCCUCCGGGAGGCAGCAGGGGGGAAUGUGGUACAAUGGGCUGAAGCCUGAAGCAGCCACGCCGCGGGGGGGAUGACGGCCUUCGGGUUGUAAACCGCUAUCGCCUGUGACGAAGCGUGAGUGACGGUAAUGGGUAAAAAAGCACCGGCUAACUACGUG
rnacentral:rRNA from 1 species